AUUUAAAUCGAAGGGAUGGGAUAACAAGUUGAAUAAUAAUAAUAAUAAUAAUGGGACAAAGUAUGACCUACAUGCAUAUAUCAUAUAAAAGCAACUUGACAUUGUCUAUCUCUCUAUUAAUUACGUCUCUAUAUCUUUUUUUUUCUUUUUCUAAUUCAUAAAGUUUGUAAUAAAUAAUAUAUAUAUACAUUACUUAGAAUGUAUAAAUAUGUAAGAUGGAUAAGAUUUUUGAGUCGUCGGGGGGUGUUUUGUUUUUUGUCUUCUGCUCCAUUUCCAUUUGUUCUGUGGGUACCAUUUAGAUUUUAU
rnacentral:lncRNA from 1 species